rnacentral:rRNA from 1 species
AUUGAACGCUGGCGGCAGGCUUAACACAUGCAAGUCGAACGAUGAUUAUCUAGCUUGCUAGAUAUGAUUAGUGGCGGACGGGUGAGUAACAUUUAGGAAUCUGCCUAGUAGUGGGGGAUAGCUCGGGGAAACUCGAAUUAAUACCGCAUACGACCUACGGGUGAAAGGGGGCGCAAGCUCUUGCUAUUAGAUGAGCCUAAAUCAGAUUAGCUAGUUGGUGGGGUAAAGGCCCACCAAGGCGACGAUCUGUAACUGGUCUGAGAGGAUGAUCAGUCACACCGGAACUGAGACACGGUCCGGACUCCUACGGGAGGCAGCAGUGGGGAAUAUUGGACAAUGGGGGCAACCCUGAUCCAGCCAUGCCGUGUGUGUGAAGAAGGCCUUUUGGUUGUAAAGCACUUUAAGCAGGGAGGAGAGGCUAAUGGUUAAUACCCAUUAGAUUAGACGUUACCUGCAGAAUAAGCACCGGCUAACUCUGUGCCAGCAGCCGCGGUAAUACAGAGGGUGCGAGCGUUAAUCGGAAUUACUGGGCGUAAAGCGAGUGUAGGUGGCUCAUUAAGUCACAUGUGAAAUCCCCGGGCUUAACCUGGGAACUGCAUGUGAUACUGGUGGUGCUAGAAUAUGUGAGAGGGAAGUAGAAUUCCAGGUGUAGCGGUGAAAUGCGUAGAGAUCUGGAGGAAUACCGAUGGCGAAGGCAGCUUCCUGGCAUAAUAUUGACACUGAGAUUCGAAAGCGUGGGUAGCAAACAGGAUUAGAUACCCUGGUAGUCCACGCCGUAAACGAUGUCUACUAGCCGUUGGGGUCCUUGAGACUUUAGUGGCGCAGUUAACGCGAUAAGUAGACCGCCUGGGGAGUACGGCCGCAAGGUUAAAACUCAAAUGAAUUGACGGGGGCCCGCACAAGCGGUGGAGCAUGUGGUUUAAUUCGAUGCAACGCGAAGAACCUUACCUGGUCUUGACAUAGUGAGAAUCCUGCAGAGAUGCGGGAGUGCCUUCGGGAAUUCACAUACAGGUGCUGCAUGGCUGUCGUCAGCUCGUGUCGUGAGAUGUUGGGUUAAGUCCCGCAACGAGCGCAACCCUUUUCCUUAUUUGCCAGCGGGUUAAGCCGGGAACUUUAAGGAUACUGCCAGUGACAAACUGGAGGAAGGCGGGGACGACGUCAAGUCAUCAUGGCCCUUACGACCAGGGCUACACACGUGCUACAAUGGUAGGUACAGAGGGUUGCUACACAGCGAUGUGAUGCUAAUCUCAAAAGGCCUAUCGUAGUCCGGAUUGGAGUCUGCAACUCGACUCCAUGAAGUCGGAAUCGCUAGUAAUCGCAGAUCAGAAUGCUGCGGUGAAUACGUUCCCGGGCCU